GACAGAGGGUGCAACCGUUGUUCGGAAUUACUGGGCGUAAAGCGCGUGUAGGCGGCUUUGCAAGUCGGGCGUGAAAUCCCAUGGCUCAACCAUGGAAGUGCACUCGAAACUGCAGAGCUAGAGUCCUGGAGAGGAAGGUGGAAUGCUUGGUGUAGAGGUGAAAUUCGUAGAUAUCAAGCGGAACACCGGUGGCGAAGGCGGCCUUCUGGACAGUGACUGACGCUGAGACGCGAAAGCGUGGGGAGCAAACAGG
rnacentral:rRNA from 1 species